AUACGUAGGGUGCAAGCGUUAAUCGGAAUUACUGGGCGUAAAGCGUGCGCAGGCGGUUACCUAAGCGCAAGGUUUAAUCUUGAGGCUCAACCUCAUUCUGCCUUGCGAACUGGGCUACUUGUGUGCAGGAGGGGAAAGCGGAAUUCCCAGUGUAGCGGUGAAAUGCGUAGAUAUUGGGAAGAACACCGGUGGCGAAGGGGGCUUUCUGGACUGUAACUGACACUGAGGCACGAAAGCGUGGGGAGCAAACAGGAUUAGAUACCCUGGUAGUCCACGCCGUAAACGAUGAGCACUAGUUGUUGGGUACGAAUGUAUUCAGUGACGCAGUUAACGCAAUAAGUGCUCCGCCUGGGGAGUACGGUGGCAACACUAAAACUCAAAUGAAUUGGCGGGG
rnacentral:rRNA from 1 species